rnacentral:rRNA from 1 species
AUUGAACGCUGGCGGCAUGCCUUACACAUGCAAGUCGAACGGCAACGCGGGGCAACCUGGCGGCGAGUGGCGAACGGGUGAGUAAUAUAUCGGAACAUACCCUAGAGUGGGGGAUAACGUAGCGAAAGUCACGCUAAUACCGCAUACGAUCUGAGGAUGAAAGCGGGGGAUCGCAAGACCUCGUGCUCAUGGAGUGGCCGAUAUCUGAUUAGCUAGUUGGUAGGGUAAAAGCCUACCAAGGCAUCGAUCAGUAGCUGGUUUGAGAGAACGACCAGCCACACUGGAACUGAGACACGGUCCAGACUCCUACGGGAGGCAGCAGUGGGGAAUUUUGGACAAUGGGGGCAACCCUGAUCCAGCAAUGCCGCGUGAGUGAAGAAGGCCUUCGGGUUGUAAAGCUCUUUUGUCAGGGAAGAAACGGCGCGUCCUAAUACGAUGCGCUAAUGACGGUACCUGAAGAAUAAGCACCGGCUAACUACGUGCCAGCAGCCGCGGUAAUACGUAGGGUGCAAGCGUUAAUCGGAAUUACUGGGCGUAAAGCGUGCGCAGGCGGUUAUAUAAGUCAGAUGUGAAAUCCCCGGGCUCAACCUGGGAACUGCAUUUGAGACUGUAUGGCUAGAGUGUGUCAGAGGGGGGUAGAAUUCCACGUGUAGCAGUGAAAUGCGUAGAUAUGUGGAGGAAUACCGAUGGCGAAGGCAGCCCCCUGGGAUAACACUGACGCUCAUGCACGAAAGCGUGGGGAGCAAACAGGAUUAGAUACCCUGGUAGUCCACGCCCUAAACGAUGUCUACUAGUUGUUGGGUCUUAAUUGACUUAGUAACGCAGCUAACGCGUGAAGUAGACCGCCUGGGGAGUACGGUCGCAAGAUUAAAACUCAAAGGAAUUGACGGGGACCCGCACAAGCGGU